UACGUAGGGGCCUAGCGUUGUCCGGAUUUAUUGGGCGUAAAGAGCUCGUAGGCGGUUCGGUAAGUCAGGUGUGAAAUCUCCACGCUCAACGUGGAGGCGCCACCUGAAACUGCCGUGACUCGAGUCCGGUAGGGGAGUGUGGAAUUCCCGGUGUAGCGGUGAAAUGCGCAGAUAUCGGAAGAACACCAGUGGCGAAGGCGACUUACUGGACACAUAUUGACGCUGAGGUGCGAAAGCGUGGGGAGCAAACAGG
rnacentral:rRNA from 1 species